rnacentral:rRNA from 1 species
GCCCCGAGAUGAGUUCUCCCUGAGACUUAGAGUCUCCUGAAGGAACGUUGAAGACGACGACGUUGAUAGGCCGGGUGUGUAAGCGCAGCGAUGCGUUGAGCUAACCGGUACUAAUGAACCGUGAGGCUUAACCUUAC